GAUGAACGCUGGCGGCGUGCCUAAUACAUGCAAGUCGAGCGAACAGACGAGGAGCUUGCUCCUCUGACGUUAGCGGCGGACGGGUGAGUAACACGUGGAUAACCUACCUAUAAGACUGGGAUAACUUCGUGAAACCGGAGCUAAUACCGGAUAAUAUAUUGAACCGCAUGGUUCAAUAGUGAAAGACGGUUUUGCUGUCACUUAUAGCUGGAUCCGCGCCGCAUUAGCUAGUUGGUAAGGUAACGGCUUACCAAGGCAACGAUGCGUAGCCGACCUGAGAGGGUGAUCGGCCACACUGGAACUGAGACACGGUCCAGACUCCUACGGGAGGCAGCAGUAGGGAAUCUUCCGCAAUGGGCGAAAGCCUGACGGAGCAACGCCGCGUGAGUGAUGAAGGUCUUCGGAUCGUAAAACUCUGUUAUUAGGGAAGAACAAAUGUGUAAGUAACUAUGCACGUCUUGACGGUACCUAAUCAGAAAGCCACGGCUAACUACGUG
rnacentral:rRNA from 1 species